AGCAUCCACAAGCAUAUGCAAAAGUUGCUGCAUUUAAAAAGCUCGUAGUUGGAUCUGUCGAUGGUGUUGCGUUCAACCGCCAGGUUCGUUUGAGUGAGCGGGUGACAUCAUCUUCUUCCCGUUGAGAGGGUUUGCACUUAAUUGUGACGAAUUCUCGAGACGGAUAAUUAAUUUGAAUAAAUUAGAGUGUUCAAAGCGACCUUUGGGAAAGCAUAAUAAAGCAUGUGAUAGAGGAGGAAGACCCACCGUUGUUCGGAAGGGUUUGCAACGGAUGGUAAUGAUUGAAAGGAACAGUCGGGGGCAUUUGUAUUGCUACGUUAGAGGUGAAAUUCUUGGAUCGUGGCAAGACAAACUACAGCGAAAGCAUCUGCCAAGAAUGUUUUCAUUAAUCAAGAACGAA
rnacentral:rRNA from 1 species